UACGGAGGGUGCAAGCGUUAUCCGGAUUCACUGGGUUUAAAGGGUGCGUAGGCGGAUUGGUAAGUCAGUGGUGAAAUCCUUGAGCUUAACUCGAGAACUGCCAUUGAUACUAUCUGUCUUGAAUAUUGUGGAGGUAAGCGGAAUAUGUCAUGUAGCGGUGAAAUGCUUAGAUAUGACAUAGAACACCUAUUGCGAAGGCAGCUUACUACGCAUAUAUUGACGCUGAGGCACGAAAGCGUGGGGAUCAAACAGG
rnacentral:rRNA from 1 species